rnacentral:rRNA from 1 species
GAUGAACGCUGGCGGCGUGCCUAAUACAUGCAAGUCGAGCGAACAGACUAGGAGCUUGCUCCUCUGACGUUAGCGGCGGACGGGUGAGUAACACGUGGAUAACCUACCUAUAAGACUGGGAUAACUUCGGGAAACCGGAGCUAAUACCGGAUAAUAUAUUGAACCGCAUGGUUCAAUAGUGAAAGACGGUUUUGCUGUCACUUAUAGAUGGAUCCGCGCCGCAUUAGCUAGUUGGUAAGGUAACGGCUUACCAAGGCAACGAUGCGUAGCCGACCUGAGAGGGUGAUCGGCCACACUGGAACUGAGACACGGUCCAGACUCCUACGGGAGGAAGCAGUAGGGAAUCUUCCGCAAUGGGCGAAAGCCUGACGGAGCAACGCCGCGUGAGUGAUGAAGGUCUUCGGAUCGUAAAACUCUGUUAUUAGGGAAGAACAAAUGUGUAAGUAACUAUGCACGUCUUGACGGUACCUAAUCAGAAAGCCACGGCUAACUACGUG